rnacentral:hammerhead_ribozyme from 1 species
GCACUGCCGUCGAGUCCCAAAACAGGACGAAACAGCUGUCCGGUGC